rnacentral:rRNA from 1 species
AGGAAUAUUGGUCAAUGGGCGAGAGCCUGAACCAGCCAAGUCGCGUGAGGGAAGACGGCCCUACGGGUUGUAAACCUCUUUUGUCAGGGAGCAAGAACAGAUACGUGUAUCUGAGCGAGAGUACCUGAAGAAAAAGCAUCGGCUAACUCCGUGCCAGCAGCCGCGGUAAUACGGAGGAUGCGAGCGUUAUCCGGAUUUAUUGGGUUUAAAGGGUGCGUAGGCGGAGUGCCAAGUCAGCGGUAAAAUUUCGGGGCUCAACCCCGUCGUGCCGUUGAAACUGGCGCCCUUGAGUGGGCGAGAAGUAUGCGGAAUGCGUGGUGUAGCGGUGAAAUGCAUAGAUAUCACGCAGAACUCCGAUUGCGAAGGUAGCAUACCGGCGCCCGACUGACGCUGAAGCACGAAAGCGUGGGUAUCGAACAGGAUUAGAUACCCUGGUAGUCCACGCAGUAAACGAUGGAUACUAGCUGUCCGGGACGAUUGGGUCCUGGGUGGCACAGCGAAAGCGUUAAGUAUCCCACCUGGGGAGUACGCCGGCAACGGUGAAACUCAAAGGAAUUGACGGGGGCCCGCACAAGCGGAGGAACAUGUGGUUUAAUUCGAUGAUACGCGAGGAACCUUACCCGGGCUCAAACGCUGGAGGAAUACUUUUGAAAGGAGGUAGCUCUACGGAGCCUCCAGCGAGGUGCUGCAUGGUUGUCGUCAGCUCGUGCCGUGAGGUGUCGGCUUAAGUGCCAUAACGAGCGCAACCCCCAUCGACAGUUGCUAACGAGUAGAGUCGAGGACUCUGUCGAGACUGCCGGCGCAAGCUGCGAGGAAGGCGGGGAUGACGUCAAAUCAGCACGGCCCUUACGUCCGGGGCGACACACGUGUUACAAUGGCAGGUACAGCGGGAAGCCACCUGGCGACAGGGAGCGGAACCCGAAAGCCUGUCUUAGUUCGGAUUGGAGUCUGCAACCCGACUCCAUGAAGCUGGAUUCGCUAGUAAUCGCGCAUCAGCCACGGCGCGGUGAAUACGUUCCCG